AGAGUUUGAUCAUGGCUCAGGAUGAACGCUGGCGGCAUGCCUAAUACAUGCAAGUCGAACGAGCGGGCCCGAAAUUAUUGACGUGCUUGCACUGAUAUAUGCUCGGAUUUUCCCGCUAGUGGCGAACGGGUGAGUAACACGUAGGUAACCUACCCAUGAGAGAGGAAUAACUAUUGGAAACGAUAGCUAAUACCUCAUAUGAAAAUUUUUCGCAUGAUUAAUUUUUGAAAGGUGCGUUUGCAUCACUCAUGAAUGGACCUGCGUUGCAUUAGCUAGUUGGUGAGGUAAAGGCUCACCAAGGCGACGAUGCAUAGCCGGACUGAGAGGUCGAUCGGCCACAUUGGAACUGAGACACGGUCCAAACACCUACGGGUGGCAGCAGUAGGGAAUUUUUCGCAAUGGGGGCAACCCUGACGGAGCAAUGCCGCGUGGAGGAUGAAGGUUUUCGAAUCGUAAACUCCUGUUGUAAGGGAAGAACGGCAAGGUUAGGAAAUGAACUUUGUGUGACGGUACCUUACCAGAAAGCCUCGGCUAACUACGUGCCAGCAGCCGCGGUAAUACGUAGGAGGCAAGCGUUAUCCGGAAUUAUUGGGCGUAAAGAGCAUGUAGGCGGUUUAUUAAGUCUGAUGUGAAAGCUAAUGGCUUAACCAUUAAAUUGCAUUGGAAACUGGUAAACUAGAAUACUGGAGAGGUAAGUGGAACUCCAUGUGUAGCGGUGGAAUGCGCAGAUAUAUGGAAGAACACCAAUGGCGAAGGCAGCUUACUGGACAGAGAUUGACGCUGAGAUGCGAAAGCGUGGGGAGCAAACAGGAUUAGAUACCCUGGUAGU
rnacentral:rRNA from 1 species